ACAAAGGCAUGGUCCCGACCUUAUUGUCAACUAUAGCCCAACUUACACAUGCAAGUCUCCGCAUUCCAGUGAAUAUGCCCUCAACCCCCUGCCCUGGGGUGAGGAGCGGGCAUCAGGCACAAACAUUAGCCCAAGACGCCCAGCCAGGCCACACCCCCAAGGGAAUUCAGCAGUGAUAAAUAUUAAGCCAUAAGUGAAAACUUGACUUAGUUAGGGCUAAGAGGGCCGGUAAAACUCGUGCCAGCCACCGCGGUUAGACGAGAGACCCUAGUUGAUAUUAUAGCGGCGUAAAGGGUGGUUAAGGUUAAAAAAUAAUAAAGCCAAAUGGCCCCUUGGCCGUCAUACGCUUCUAGGCGUCCGAAGCCCUAUAUACGAAAGUAGCUUUAAUAAAAUAUGCCCGACCCCACGAAAGCUAAGAAACAAACUGGGAUUAGAUACCCCACUAUGCUUAGCCAUAAACUUAGACAUACAUUUACAAUAAAAUGUCCGCCAGGGUACUACGAGCAUUAGCUUAAAACCCAAAGGACCUGACGGUGUCUCAGACCCACCUAGAGGAGCCUGUUCUAGAACCGAUAACCCCCGUUUAACCUCACCACUUCUAGCCAUUCCAGCCUAUAUACCGCCGUCGUCAGCUUACCCUGUGAAGGUAAUAAAAGUAAGCAAGAUUAGUAUAACUCAGAACGUCAGGUCGAGGUGUAGCGCAUGAGGUGGAAAGAAAUGGGCUACAUUUUCUAUCACAGAAUAUUACGAACAUGCACAAUGAAAUAGUGCUUAAAGGAGGAUUUAGCAGUAAAAGAAAAACAGAGUGUUUCUUUGAAUCCGGCUCUGAGACGCGUACACACCGCCCGUCACUCUCCCCUAUUAAACGCAAUAAAAAUAACUAAUAUAAUAGCACUAAAUAAGGGGAGGCAAGUCGUAACACGGUAAGUGUACCGGAAGGUGCACUUGGACCAAACC
rnacentral:ncRNA from 1 species